rnacentral:rRNA from 1 species
CGAGUGAAGCGGCAACAGCUCAAAUUUGAAAUCUGGCUUCGGCCCGAGUUGUAAUUUGCAGAGGAAGCUUUAGGCGCGGCACCAUCUGAGUCCCCUGGAACGGGGCGCCAUAAGAGGGUGAGAGCCCCGUAUAGAUGGACGCUAAGCCUGUGUAAAGCUCCUUCGACGAGUCGAGUAGUUUGGGAAUGCUGCUCAAAAUGGGAGGUAAAUUUCUUCUAAAGCUAAAUACCGGCCAGAGACCGAUAGCGCACAAGUAGAGUGAUCGAAAGAUGAAAAGCACUUUGAAAAGAGGGUUAAAUAGCACGUGAAAUUGUUGAAAGGGAAGCGCUUGUGACCAGACUUGCGCCGGGCUGAUCAUCCGGUGUUCUCACCGGUGCACUCUGCCCGGCUCAGGCCAGCAUCGGUUUUCGCGGGGGGAUAAAGGCCCUGGGAACGUAGCUCCUCCGGGAGUGUUAUAGCCCAGGGUGUAAUGCCCUCGCGGGGACCGAGGUUCGCGC